UACGUAGGCAGCGAGCGUUGUUCGGAAUUACUGGGCGUAAAGAGUGUGUAGGCGGUGCUCUAAGUUCGGUGUGAAAUCUCCCGGCUUAACUGGGAGGGUGCGCCGGAAACUGGAGUGCUCGAGCGUGGGAGAGGAAAGCGGAAUUCCUGGUGUAGCGGUGAAAUGCGUAGAGAUCCGGAGGAACACCAAGGGCGAAGGCAGUGUCCUGGGGAGUACCUGACGCUCAGGUGCGAAAGCCAGGGGAGCGAACGGG
rnacentral:rRNA from 1 species